AAGUAUUAAAGCUCUUUUAGGAUGUGCUUAGCAGGUUUUCCGGUUCUUUCUGAAAGAAA
rnacentral:snRNA from 1 species